AAGACCUUGUGCUAUACGAGCGGCCGAUGUCGGAUUAGCUAGUUGGUAGGGUAAAGGCCCACCAAGGCAACGAUCCGUAGCGGGUCUGAGAGGAUGAUCCGCCACACUGGAACUGAGACACGGUCCAGACUCCUACGGGAGGCAGCAGUGGGGAAUUUUGGACAAUGGGCGCAAGCCUGAUCCAGCAAUGCCGCGUGCAGGAAGAAGGCCUUCGGGUUGUAAACUGCUUUUGUACGGAACGAAACGGUCUUGGUUAAUACCAGGCUAAUGACGGUACCGUAAGAAUAAGCACCGGCUAACUACGUGCCAGCAGCCGCGGUAAUACGUAGGGUGCAAGCGUUAAUCGGAAUUACUGGGCGUAAAGCGUGCGCAGGCGGCUUCCUAAGUCAGAUGUGAAAUCCCCGGGCUCAACCUGGGAACU
rnacentral:rRNA from 1 species